UUACGAUCCCGUGCAAGGUUAAGCAGAAGAUGCGGAGCCGCAGCGAAAGCGAGUCUGAAUAGGGCGCAUGAGUACGUGGUCGUAGACCCGAAACCAGGUGAUCUACCCAUGUCCAGGGUGAAGUUCAGGUAACACUGAAUGGAGGCCCGAACCCACGCACGUUGAAAAGUGCGGGGAUGAGGUGUGGGUAGGGGUGAAAUGCCAAUCGAACCUGGAGAUAGCUGGUUCUCUCCGAAAUAGCUUUAGGGCUAGCCUCAAGGUAAGAGUCUCGGAGGUAGAGCACUGAUUGGACUAGGGGCCCCUACCGGGUUACCGAAUUCAGUCAAACUCCGAAUGCC
rnacentral:rRNA from 1 species